CAUUAAGUGGCUGAAUA
rnacentral:tRNA from 3 species